rnacentral:rRNA from 1 species
UACGUAGGGUGCAAGCGUUAAUCGGAAUUACUGGGCGUAAAGCGUGCGUAGACGGUUAUGUAAGUCAGAUGUGAAAGCCCCGGGCUUAACCUGGGAAUGGCAUUUGAGACUGCAUAGCUAGGGUGCGGAAGAGGUGAGUGGAAUUCCUGGUGUAGCGGUGAAAUGCGCAGAUAUCAGGAGGAACACCAAUGGCGAAGGCAGCUCACUGGGACGGUAUUGACGCUGAGACGCGAAAGCGUGGGGGAGCAAACAGG